rnacentral:rRNA from 1 species
GCUCAGGAUGAACGCUAGCGGCAGGCCUUAACACAUGCAAGUCGAGGGGGUAACAUAGUAGCUUGCUACUGAUGACGACCGGCGCACGGGUGCGUAACGCGUAUGCAACCUACCUCUUACUGGGGGAUAGCCUCUGGAAACGGAGAUUAACACCCCAUAGUAUCAUUUAUCCUCCUGGAUUUUUGAUUAAAGGCUACGGUAAGAGAUGGGCAUGCGUCCUAUUAGCUAGAUGGUGUGGUAACGGCACACCAUGGCAACGAUAGGUAGGGGCCCUGAGAGGGGGAUCCCCCACACUGGUACUGAGACACGGACCAGACUCCUACGGGAGGCAGCAGUGAGGAAUAUUGGACAAUGGGCGGAAGCCUGAUCCAGCCAUGCCGCGUGCAGGAAGACUGCCCUAUGGGUUGUAAACUGCUUUUGUACGGGAAGAAACACUCCUACGUGUAGGAGCUUGACGGUACCGUAAGAAUAAGCAUCGGCUAACUCCGUGCCAGCAGCCGCGGUAAU